rnacentral:rRNA from 1 species
CUUGACACACAUAAGAGGUCCAGCCUGCCCAGUGACUAAGUUCAACGGCCGCGGUAUCCUAACCGUGCGAAGGUAGCGUAAUCACUUGUUCUUUAAAUGAGGACUAGUAUGAAUGGCACCACGAGGGUUAUACUGUCUCCUUUUUUUAAUCAAUGAAACUGAUCUCCCCGUGAAGAAGCGGGGAUAAAUUUAUAAGACGAGAAGACCCUAUGGAGCUUUAAACAAUUAUAGCACUGGCCCCCCACCUCUUAUUCUUCUGAGAUAUAAUUAUUAUACAGGCCAACAUGACUAUUAGUUUUAGGUUGGGGUGACCGCGGAGCAAAAAUUAACCUCCACGUUGAACGGAGCUACUCCUGAGCUAAAAACUACAACUUUAAGCACCAAUAAACUGACAUCAAUUGACCCAAUAUAUUGAACAACGAAC